UUCCGGUUGAUCCCGCCGGACCUGACUGCUAUCGGAUGGAGAUUAAGCCAUGCAAGUCGUACGUCGCAAGACGUGGCAGACGGCUCAGUAACACGUAGCUAACCUACCCUGCAGACGCGGACAACCCCGGGAAACUGGGACUAAUUCGCGAUAGGUCAUUGUUCCUGGAAUGGGCUAUGACCCAAAGGGCCGUGAGCAAUCACAGUUGCUGCAGGAUGGGGCUGCGGCCGAUCAGGUUGUUGGUGGGGUAAUGGCCCACCAAGCCUAUAACCGGUGCGGGCGUUGAGAGAUGGGGCCCGGAGAUGGACACUGAGAAAAGGGUCCAGGUCCUACGGGGCGCAGCAGGCGCGAAAACUUCGCAAUGGGCGAAAGCCCGAUGAGGUUAUUCCGAGUGCCUUCCGCUGAGGAAGGCUUUUCUCACGUCCAAAUAGCGUGGGGAAUAAGGGGAGGGCAAGUCUGGUGUCAGCCGCCGCGGUAAAACCAGC
rnacentral:rRNA from 1 species